AACGCGAAGAACCUUACCUGGACUUGACAUCGCCUGAACUACCUGUAAUUAGGGAAGCCCUUCGGGGCAGGCAGACAGGUGGUGCAUGGUUGUCGUCAGCUCGUGUCGUGAGAUGUUGGGUUAAGUCCCGCAACGAGCGCAACCCUUAUUGUUAGUUGCUACCAUUAAGUUGAGCACUCUAGCGAGACUGCCGGGGUUAACUCGGAGGAAGGUGGGGAUGACGUCAAAUCAUCAUGCCCCUUAUGUCUAGGGCUACACACGUGCUACAAUGGCGAGUACAACAAGACGCAAGACCGCGAGGUGGAGCAAAACUGUAAAACUCGUCCCAGUUCGGAUUGUGGGCUGAAACUCGCCUAUAUGAAGCCGGAGUUGCUAGUAAUCGCGAAUCAGCAUGUCGCGGUGAAUACGUUCCCGGGCCUUGUACACACCG
rnacentral:rRNA from 1 species